GUGAAUCAUCAAAUCUUUGAACGCAAAUUGCACUCUCUGGUAUUCCGGAGAGUAUGCCUGUUUGAGGGUUAGUUUAUAUAAAAUACGGUGUGGUUGCUGCCUUUCGUGGUGACGCACCGGUUUUGGGUCGUCUUGCCGUCGGCUAUGCGACCUAAAAUUAUGUAUGAUUUUUUUCGACUGUAUUUAAUUGAUUAUAAGUACGCUUUCGAUACUGAUUAC
rnacentral:misc_RNA from 1 species